rnacentral:rRNA from 1 species
UGGCAGACGGGUGAGUAACGCGUGGGAAUCUACCCAGUUCUACGGAACAACUGAGGGAAACUUCAGCUAAUACCGUAUACGCCCUACGGGGGAAAGAUUUAUCGGAAUUGGAUGAGCCCGCGUAAGAUUAGCUAGUUGGUGGGGUAAUGGCCUACCAAGGCGACGAUCUUUAGCUGGUCUGAGAGGAUGAUCAGCCACACUGGGACUGAGACACGGCCCAGACUCCUACGGGAGGCAGCAGUGGGGAAUAUUGGACAAUGGGCGCAAGCCUGAUCCAGCCAUGCCGCGUGAGUGAUGAAGGCCUUAGGGUUGUAAAGCUCUUUCAGUAGGGAAGAUAAUGACGGUACCUACAGAAGAAGCCCCGGCUAACUUCGUGCCAGCAGCCGCGGUAAUACGAAGGGGGCUAGCGUUGUUCGGAUUUACUGGGCGUAAAGCGCACGUAGGCGGGUUGUUAAGUCAGGGGUGAAAUCCUGGAGCUCAACUCCAGAACUGCCUUUGAUACUGGCAAUCUAGAGUCCGGAAGAGGUGAGUGGAACUCCUAGUGUAGAGGUGGAAUUCGUAGAUAUUAGGAAGAACACCAGUGGCGAAGGCGGCUCACUGGUCCGGUACUGACGCUG